rnacentral:rRNA from 1 species
AGGAUGAACGCUGGCGGCGUGCCUAAUGCAUGCAAGUCGAACGGUGCUUUGAUUUCGGUUGAAGCACAGUGGCGAACGGCUGAGUAAUACAAAGGUAACCUGCCCCUCAGUGGGGGAUAACUCCGAGAAAUCGGAGCUAAUACCGCAUGCGGUCAUCUCACGCAAGUGACAUGACCAAAGCCUUCGGGCGCUGAGGGAGGGGCUUUUGGCCUAUCAGGUAGUUGGUAGAGUAACGGCCUACCAAGCCUAAGACGGGUAGCUGGUCUGAGAGGAUGGUCAGCCAGACGGGGACUGAGAUACGGCCCUGACUCCUACGGGAGGCAGCAGCAAGGAAUAUUGCGCAAUGGGCGAAAGCCUGACGCAGCGACGCCGCGUGAGGGAAGAAGGCCUUCGGGUUGUAAACCUCUUUUCUUGGUGAAGAGUAAGGACGGUAAUCAAGGAAUAAGCCUCGGCUAACUACGUGCCAGCCGCCGCGGU